UUGGUAUGGUACGGUUUUGAAAAUCUAAAACCGAAACUAAACCGUUUUCUUUGUUGCGGUUUGGUUUCGAAACCGCAACCGUUUUAAAAUCGCAAAAUCAAACUGUUCGGUGCGGUCCGAUUUAAUUUGUGUUUCGAUUUCGGUUUUCGGUUCCAAAUGCCCACUCCUAAAUGUACGAGAGUUUUCUAUUUCGUUUAAACCUUUAUUUCUUCUGCUCAUUCUCUGAUCCGUGCCUUAUUCUCACUGUUUUUCUUUGAUAUUGUGGUGUUUUGAACCCAAAAUUUUUCGUAUUUUAAGUGAUAUACUACGAGGAAGACAUCCUCCAAACCCUCUACAUAAGCAUCGAGCACUCUUUGUUAUCUCACUUCAUAAAUCUCGGAUUUGGCAGGAAUUGGAACGGCGCUGUUAUUUUUUGGUUGUGGUCCUCUGUUAGGAUUUUCCUGGAAAAGAGUAUAUUUUCCGUUUUGGUUGCUCAGUUGCUCAAUCACAAAUUUGCAAAUAGCUCUGGUGGUGCUAUUAUUUUUGGGUAUGUUUUCUGUCAUUUUUUCCCCUGUUUGAUCAUGCAUUUAUGAAUGUUGGAUUAAAAUGUGUUUAUUUUUGGGAAGAAAUGAGACGGCUAGUUAGAGUUUUAGAAACCUUUGUCUUUCUUGCUUUUUAUGGCAAUGAGAAGAAGGAAGAAAACAUUGAUCUUAAUUGUAAUUUUCAGUUCUUUACACUGUUAGUGCUGAAACCUCUGUUUUGUAGACAAAUAGCUGACAUGUGAACAUUUGCAAAUCCAUGUUAUUUUCUAAGUUGUUUUUUAUUUUCCAAUGUAUUUUUUUCUUCAUAUGAACCUGGAUGAAAUGAUUGUUGGUGGUUUUUAACCAGAUGCUUUGUUUCAAAAUGAUUAAUCCUAUUAAGAAUAAAUAAUUGCUUGGGGUAUAAAAUGUGUAUUGUUGAUGCUUUGGUCAAUCUGACCAUAAAAAUAGAGUGCAUUUUGGUUUCUUUGACUCUUUUGUUUGCUUUGUUUGUUGUUUGGACCUAAGCUUAAAAUACUUACACAAUACUUGACAAGAAAAAUAAUAUUUAGGAUUAGGUUAGUGUUUAUGCAAUGAUAACCAUAGACAAUUAAUUCUCUGGUGACUUAUUUCAUGCUUUAGUUUGGAAACUCUUGUUUUUGUCAUAUAUAGAAUACUAGCACGGCGUGCAAAUGCGUUAUCGAUUGACUUCUAAAUGGUGGUUAAUUUAGUUUAUAAAUUUGUAAUGCAUGUGUUCUCUAACCUUGAGCGACUGUACAUGAGGACAUAAGACGUCUUUUGGGUGAGAAAUCUGCUUCCUUGAUAUGGGCAGCGAGUCAGUUUGGUUCGACUCUUGAUCCGGAGCAGAGACUAACUGUUCUUCACAUCCAAGCUCGUCUUGUGAUAGGGUCCUUAGGUCUGUACAGAAUCUGAACAUAGAAAAGCACCCUAGGCAUUUUGUUUUGUUUUUCUCUGUACUUGAAUGAAAUACAAUCAGUAAUAUGUAAGAGAAUGGUCGGCUUCAAUGAAAUGUUUGCCUUGA